AUGACUUUGAUCUGCGUCCUCAUCUGGACUCUCCUCUGCUGCUGCUUCACAGAGUCCAGAGGCCAGGUCACAGUGACUCAGCCUGGAGCAGUGAGCUCUGCUCUGGGAGGCUCUGUCUCCAUCAGAUGUACGACCAGUCAGAAUGUUUACAAUUCUAACUGGUUACACUGGUACCAACAGAGAGCUGGAGAAACUCCUAAACUCCUCAUUUACACUGCUAGCACUCGAGAAUCAGGGAUUCCAGAUCGUUUUACAGGCAGUGGAUCAAACUCUGACUUCACUCUGACCAUCAGUGGAGUCCAGACUGAAGAUGCAGCAGUUUACUACUGUCAGAGUGAACAUCUUAUCAACAGUCAGUAUGUGUUCACACAGUGAAAAAGCGUCGUACAAAAACCUCCCUCAGUCAGACUGAACAGAAACUGAACUGACUGCUGCAGCUGGAAGCUACUGCAGAGACUGAUACACUUCACUGAGGACACACACACACACACACGUCAUCUAUGAGGUUGAAGAUUUCACAACUUUUACUUUACACCAAUGAACAUGUAGGAAAAAAUAUUACAAAAAAAUAUGAAAUCAAAUUACUUUGUCCAUCACAGGUUGUACCCCGCCUUUCGCCCGAUGUCAGCUGGGAUUGGCUCCAGCCCCCAUGACCCUGUACGGAGGAUUAGCGGUUGAUGAUGGAUGGAUGAUCACGUUGGCUUCAAAGUUAAAAUAUUCCAUGACAGCUGGGUGAACUCCAUCUGCUGAAGAAGAUCAUGUCAUAAAAACAGUAAUGUAACUGAUGAUGACUUCCAUGUUUUCUGGUUGGAGUUUCUCGAGGAAGCUCUCUGAGAUCAUCUGCCUCAGAAUCCCCUCAAACACCCAACACUACUUUACUUGAAGAAAUUUCCACCUAAAGAUGUCAAACCUACAUUUAUAUUAAUGUCACUAAUCAUUGUCUAAAAUCCCUAUUACAUAAAAAUGACAAGAUUUCAGUAUCGUCUACAUGUAAAUAUGUAAAUAUGUAGAUCAACGCUCUCAGCACUGAGGGGGAAACACCAUGAUAUG